UAUGUGGCACCUGUUCCUACCUCAGGAGAAGCAUCACAAUCUCCAAACGCAUCAGCAAAGUCUGUCGGACUUUUCCUCAGAGUCUGGUCAGCAGGCAGUGUGUUGUCAUUGUAAGAUGAAACGAACUUAAAGUCACUGGUCCUAGAACCCGUUGUCAGGUAGGCGUCAUAAUUGUAAGUGCUGCGUAAAGUUCCUGUGCCGUCAACAUCUGCGUAAUUAGGAGGGAGAUAAGCGCUGGGGAUGGCGACUGCUCCAUCAAACAACAGUCUGGGCUUUCUCCUGCGACAAAACCUCACACCCAGGAUGAUGAUAAUGAAGGUCAGGAAAAAGGUGGACACAGACACCAGCGCGAUGAUCAGAUCCACGUUUCAUCUCCUCCGGGAUAGAGUAGCUCACGUCUCCGUGAACGAGGUGGAGGGCAAGAAAAAUUACAACAAGGCCGCGGAGCAGCGCAAAUCUGUUGUUCCCCAUUAUAACGACGAAACAAAAGACCACUUAAAUGUAAGUUUUCAACAAAAUAAAAUCCACGUUGCAUUCGUGA